rnacentral:tRNA from 1 species
GCCUAGUUAGCUUAGUUGGUAGUGCGUCUGCCUUGUAAGCGCUAGGCCGUGGGUUCGAUUCCCACCUGGGGCG